UGUUUGAAAAUUCCUUCGGUGAAGCGGGAUCCGUUGGGGGUUGGUUGUCGACCCGGAGGCAUGUCGGGAUAGGGGGUUCGAAAGUAAAAAUAAAAAUUACCUGCCCCGGGUAGUAAACUCAAGCUGCUCCUUGGUUGCUUGAGCCAGUUGUGCGGCACUGUAGAAGGAAAUCUUCUUCCACUUCUUCAAAAGAGAGAGGGAGAAAAAGUGGGAAUAUUUAUGGUAAAGGCGGUUAAAAAUGUAUCAAUUCCAACUGAUGAAUAGGGAAAAAAGCAACCAUAAAACAUACGAUCGGGGAGAGAUAGAAUCCAUGGCAGGAAGCAC
rnacentral:sRNA from 1 species